UAAGAAAAGCGAAGGAAAAUAAAGCAACAGAAAAAAAAAAGAUCGAUAUCCCUAACACAAAUUUGUCGUGUCGCCAUCUAUUGACUAUCUAUUUAGAUUUUGCUAAAUAAACAAUAAUGGUAUUGUUGGCGCGACGAACCGUAUAAUAAACCUAAGCGAGAGACCAAACAAUACUCUAAAUGCCAUUUUUGCAAAUCACCAAUAAGAAAUGGGAUUUCGGACUAAAAAUCAGUUGCAGCAUUAUUUGAUGUGGGCGGGACAUUCUCUGACGAUCUCGCCAUCAAUUGGACUCCACCCUUCCUUAUUAGCCCUUCAUCAAUUUAUAAAUUGGUCCAGAAGUCAUCGCCCAACUAGCUUUAAAAGAAGAUUCGAAUUCCAGAAUACCGGCAAGAGAAGAAGAAGAAGAAGAAGGGAAAAAAAGAAAAAGCAUAUUUUUUUAUACCCUCGGCGAUCAAGUAUUGAUGAAUACCGAAUGACGUCAUGGCACGUUGUAAGACGAUAAAUUAUUCGUGCCGCAUUUGAAUAUGUCGAUAUUCGAUGCUUACGAUAAAUAUUUAAAUAUCAAAAGGGAUACGGGACGAAGAAUCUGACUGGAUUGCCUCGGAAGCAAAUGGAAGAGGACUCACAUCAAAGAAAAUUGUAUCGCUUUGAAGUAUCUUUAGAUUUGAUAAAGAUUGGGAAGAGCAACCACAAUUUACAUACAAUUAGUGUUAAAAAAUUACGUCUUACUUGUUAGUUAUUUAAAAAUCGAAUGACUUCCAUCAAAGUGCCGACUUUAACUUUAAGGAAUUUUACAAAGUUGAAAAGAGGAGGAAAAUUGAAUUGAGAAAAAUUUAAUCGCCGUAUGCUAAUUUUCAGACCAAAGUUUUACGCUUCGAUAGAAAUGUAAAAUUUAUUUAUUUUAUUAAUUUGGAAUAAACACAAUGACUAUUCUUCGGCUCUUUUUUUUUUUAAACUGGAAU